rnacentral:rRNA from 1 species
GAUGAACGCUGGCGGCGUGCCUAAUACAUGCAAGUCGAGCGAACAGACGAGGAGCUUGCUCCUCUGACGUUAGCGGCGAACGGUUGAGUAACACGUGGAUAACCUACCUAUAAGACUGGGAUAACUUCGGGAAACCGGAGCUAAUACCGGAUAAUAUAUUGAACCGCAUUGUUCAAUAUUGAAAGACGGUUUUACUGUCACUUAUAGAUGGAUCCGCGCCGCAUUAGCUAGUUGGUAAGGUAACGGCUUACCAAGGCGACGAUGCGUAGCCGACCUGAGAGGGUGAUCGGCCACACUGGAACUGAGACACGGUCCAGACUCCUACGGGAGGCAGCAGUAGGGAAUCUUCCGCAAUGGGCGAAAGCCUGACGGAGCAACGCCGCGUGAGUGAUGAAGGUCUUCGGAUCGUAAAACUCUGUUAUUAGGGAAGAACAAAUGUGUAAGUAACUAUGCACGUCUUGACGGUACCUAAUCAGAAAGCCACGGCUAACUACGUG